AUACGUAGGGGGCGAGCGUUGUCCGGAAUUACUGGGCGUAAAGGGUGCGUAGGUGGCCUUUUAAGUUGGAUGUGAAAUACCCGGGCUUAACCUGGGGGGUGCAUCUAAUACUGGGAGGCUAGAGUGCAGGAGAGGGAAGCGGAAUUCCUAGUGUAGCGGUGAAAUGCGUAGAUAUUAGGAGGAACACCAGUGGCGAAGGCGGCUUUCUGGACUGUAACUGACACUGAGGCACGAAAGCGUGGGGAGCAAACAGGAUUAGAUACCCUGGUAGUCCACGCGGUAAACGAUGAAUACUAGGUGUAGGGGGUAUCAACUCCCCCUGUGCCGGAGCAAACGCAAUAAGUAUUCCGCCUGGGGAGUACGGCCGCAAGGUUGAA
rnacentral:rRNA from 1 species